rnacentral:rRNA from 1 species
GAUGAACGCUGGCGGCGUGCCUAAUACAUGCAAGUUGAGCGAACGGACGAGAAGCUUGCUUCUCUGAUGUUAGCGGCGGACGGGUGAGUAACACGUGGAUAACCUACCUAUAAGACUGGGAUAACUUCGGGAAACCGGAGCUAAUACCGGAUAAUAUUUUUAACCGCAUGGUUCAAAAGUGAAAGACGGUCUUGCUGUCACUUAUAGAUGGAUCCGCGCUUCAUUAGCUAGUUGGUAAGGUAACGGCUUACCAAGGCAACGAUGCAUAGCCGACCUGAGAGGGUGAUCGGCCACACUGGAACUGAGACACGGUCCAGACUCCUACGGGGGGCAGCAGUAGGGAAUCUUCCGCAAAGGGCGAAAGCCUGACGGAGCAACGCCGCGUGAGUGAUGAAGGUCUUCGGAUCGUAAAACUCUGUUAUUAGGGAAGAACAUAUGUGUAAGUAACUGUGCACAUCUUGACGGUACCUAAUCAGAAAGCCACGGCUAACUACGUG